CUUCAACACCACUACACCGCCGCUCGACACCUUCAUCAACCCCCAAAUCGCUGUGCAAAGCCACCACGAAACCUAAUAACCGCACCGCCGCCUUCUCCGUCACCCACUCCAGCUACUCUCACUCAAAACCACUAACUGAAAUUUGCUCUGCAAAUGUUGAUCCAACAUUUCUAAAAUUCAUCUGAUUCUAUUUGUAGAUGUUGUUGCUGCAGGUGGUUCUGUUUGUUAUGGUGUUGAAUCCAUCAUCCAUUGAGUAGCAAGAUCGUCACGGCUGCCGACGACAGUUGCUGCAGGUGGUUCUGUUUGUUAUGGUGUUGAAUCCAUCAUCCAUUGAGUAGCAAGAUCGUCACGGCUGCCGACGACGUCGGUUCGAGGGUGCAUCAUAAACUUGUCGAAACUCUGGACACUAGCGAACAAGUCGAGUUGCUGCUAAGUUCAAAUCGAGUUUGAGUUUUAAGACGGGAACGCCGAGUCGGUUACGCCUUAUUGUCGCUGCAUCUUUGGUAUCCUAUACAGGUAUUGCAAACAGAGCAUAAGCAUCGAACUUUUUAUGUAUGUUGCACAAUCCAAUGACAUCAAUAUGACCGUUCUCCCGUAACAAUUACAUUAUGCUGGUGUUUGUGUUUGUGUGGCGUGUUUAAGUCUGAUGAUGCUGUGGAUUGUUCCCUUCCCUGCCAUUGUCGAGAUUAACUUAUGUCCAAAGAGUCACGGUGUGGUUGUUGUUAAUGAACUUUGUAUGUAUCACAUUUUCAGAGUAAAUAUCCAUGAUUACUGAUAGUCCUUGUUGGUACUUUACUUAGUUUUGGUUUAGAUGCAAUUUUUUUUCCUGUAAUGUUUCGAAUUAAGUUCUGGUGUAGCAUUAAGAUAGAUUGGUUAUUAAGCUAUGGUGUAAUAUUUGGACCAAUUGUUCCUGCUGUUUUAAGUUUUGGUGUAAUGUGUGGACACAGUAGCUUUUUAGUAAAGCUGUCAAGGGCGUUUGAGCCAUUUCAAUGGCUACCAUUUUGGUCUAAAAAUUUAAGAGUGUUUGUAAAUACUUUGCUCUAUGGUAUGUGAUUAAAUUGAAUCCGAACGAUUCAUACCCUUGAUGCUGGGAUUCUAGUUUGAAUUUUGCUGUUUACAUUGGAUUAUUAUAAAUAAACUUGUAAAUAUUAAAAUUGAUACUGUUUACAUUUGUCGUGUAAAUCAGAUUUUUAUGCGGAUUUGACAAAUUCAUGUCGCUAGGCCGCCAAAUUCUCAAUAUAUCAAUGGAACACUGUCACCGAGUUUUUAAUUUGCGUACGACAUCAAUCAUAUUGUCCUUAUGCUCAAACCGGUUCCGAGCACAUUUCCCACACAUACUGACCAAAUCAAUAUUAAUGUCCAUUUUCUUUCUCUUUUGAUUUAAUUAAAUUAGUUUAAUUUCAAUUAAUCAAUUCUAAUUAACUUAAUUAUUUGAUCUAAUUGAAUAAUUUUGAUAAUUAAACUUAAUUAAUUCAAUUAAUUGAUUUAAUCAAAAAUUUUCAUAAGUUAAAUUUUUGUCAAAAAAAGAAAUUGAUUGAUUUCUCCCACUCUCACAACUUCACAUUAUUUCAAAAAAAACUAUUUCAUGUCAUCAUCAUUUCAUAAUCAUUUUCAAUUUUAUUUUAUUCCAAUUCAUCAUCAACUUAAACCAAUUUCCAAAAGCACAAAUCACAAUUCUCGAUCCAAAUAUCGAGCCCAUUUUCAAAAACCUCUUUGUAAGUCGAUUUCUUUUAUGCAUCGCUAUCAACCUCACAUAGCUUACUCUUGGACUUUCUUACAAUGAGACCUAUUUGAUUAUUGAUUAAUCGAGUAGAUGAAUGAUUCACCAUCAUUUCAUUCAUAAACACAAAUUCAAACCAUUUUUCCAAACCAAUUCAAUUUCAAAAGAAUUUUCUCUCUUAACAUAAAUUUUGGGAUGAAAAAGAUAUAGGGAGCGUACGCUUCACUAUUUCUCAAGCACUUGAAUAAUUGGCGUACGCCACAUUGCUCGAGUUCUUGUCACCCGAUAAAAUCUUAAAUCACACAAUUUCAAAUCACUUUUCAAAAUCAAAUAUAAUUUUCAAAUUCAAAUUAUUCAAACCAUAACACUUCAAAUCAUAAUAUUUCAAAUUAUUUCUACAAAUUCCAAAUCCUUUUAAUUCCAUAUUUCAGAUGAAAAGAGGAUGGGAGGCGUUCGCCUCACUAUCUUUCGAUAAUUCGAAUAAUUGGCGUACGCCAUAUUGCUCGAAUCUUCGUCAUCAAAUUAAACCACAAUCGAGUAAAUUCAAAUCACAUUUCAUAUCAAACACAAUUUUACAAAAUAAACAACUUAAACUUCAAUAGAGAAUGGGAGGCGUACGCCUCGUCAUUCCUUGAUUAUUUGAAUAAUUGGCGUACGCCACAUUGCUCAAAUCAUCGACUUUCCAAACAUACCAAAUCAAAAUCCAAAAUUCAAACUAUUUCCACAAAUCAAAUACGACAUCUAAAGACAUAUCUUUAACAAAUUAAACCUCGGAUGAUAAAAGAUGGGAGGCGUUUGCCUCACCAUCUCUUGAUUAUUUGAAUAAUUGGCGUACGCCAGAUUGCUCAAAUUAUUGACUUCCGACUAAAACACGUUAAAUAAACUUGGAUAAGGGAAUAGGUGGCGCUCGCCUCAUUAUUCCUUGAAUAAGCAAGUAGGAGGCGUACGCCUCACUACCGUGCAUACUCAACAUCCGCAAACAAACUUUCGAUAAAAAAUUCGUACGAAAAGGGAGUAGAAGGCGGUCGCCUUAUUAUUCCUCAAAAGAGUUGGACGAUUGAUAUACACCACAUUGCUCAAUCUUUCGUCGUUCUUCAAAACAUCUCAAACACAUUAAACCUAACUUCUUGCCCCCGAGCGAUCGAAACCAAACACCUAAACACAUCAAUUCAACUCGUCACCCCCGCGUGACCAAAACCCUUUCAAAAUAACACUGUCAAUCCUUUCUAAUGCGCCUAACAAACCAGUGCUAGAGCCUCCACCGAGAGUAGACAAGCCAGCGUUUAGCCGUUAGAACGCCGACGUACACAAUCGUUCAUCAAAACAAAACACACCAAAUAUCCGUAGUAGCCCGAACUACGAAUGCUCUGAUUCCCUUAUUGCACCAUAAGGAUACGUAGGCAGGAGAUUGCUGUAUCUUCGGGAGCACACUAAUAAAAAACCUCCCAUUUUCCCUCCUGAGGUCUUCAUCCAUAUCUAUCAUCAAUUCUAAUUACUCGAAGCAAGCGAAUAACAUUCAAUUAACAGUCAAAUAGCAAAAUCAGACUAAAAGGUUCCAUCCAUAUCUAUCAUCAAUUCUAAUUACUCGAAGCAAGCGAAUAACAUUCAAUUAACAGUCAAAUAGCAAAAUCAGACUAAAAGGUUCCCGUUGAGUACAACGGAUGUGAGGGGUGCUAAUACCUUCCCCUUGCGUAAUCGGCUCCCGAACCCGAAUAUGGUUGCGACGAUCAUUAUUCUAUUUUCCUAAAGGUUUUCUCAAUAUUUUCCUAUUCCUUCAUUGGAAUGAAUAAAGUUCGGUGGCGACUCUGUUUUGAACAACAUUUUCCGCGUUCCAUCGCGAGGGAUCGCAUUAUCAUUUUCGAGGUGCGACAGACUGACGACUCUGCUGGGGACUCUGCUCCAAGCAAGAGAGAGUCUAGCCGAACUUAGUCUGAUUUUGCUAUGUCUGUUGGAAGAUAUUCUUUUCUUUCAUGUUUAUUUCUUUGUAUUUUAUUAUGACUGCUUGUGUUAUAUGUAAUAUGUCUUUUGAUACUAUAGCAUGGGGCUCGAUGUAUGAUGUGAGAUAAGCUCCAUACCCGAGCUUCGAGAAAAACUAGAACCCGGAGUUGUGUAGUAUUGAACCGAGGGGUGUACACCUCAUUGGGACAUAUACGAAGACUCCACCUAGAGUAGAUCUGUUUGGAGUUUCCAUCACAAUAUGGCUAGCCCAUCAUUGUGGGGGAGGUUCUAAACACGAUCCGUGUGAGAUCCCUGGAGCGGAAUUUGGGUUCAAAACUUUUCAUGAUUGGCGAUUAUGUAGUAUUGAACCGAAGGGUCUACACCCUGUUCGAACAAUACGAGAAUCCCACUUAGAUUAGAUCAUUUCAGAAUUCCCAUCACAAUGUGGCUAGCCCACCAUUGCGAGGAAGUUUUGAACUUGAUCCGUGAGUCUAAGUUCCUUCCUUGAAAACAUAACUUUAGAACAUACCUUUGAGGAAUUUCUUGUCAUCAGAGAAACCUUUGCUUCUUCCAGUUAUACUGAUGUACUCGACGUGUGAAUAAUCUUGAGUCUGUAUUCCUUUGCGAAAAAUAUGGCAAAAUUUCAUGCAUUUGCAUAUCAUCAACAUGCAUUGCAUGUCAUUGUCCAAAAACAAAAAAACUCACACCAUAUUCUACCCUUUGUCCAGUAACGCUGACUACUCGACACCGGUACGAAACACGCCGCAACUACAAGAUGACACUCAAACAGCUGGAAGCAAACCAAGUCUCGAUGAGAACGGACAUUGACUCCAUGCAGGCAAAGAUGGAUCGCUUUCUGGAGACCAUGUUGCUCCUGGCCCAGAAGGAGAAGGAUGCUGAGACUAACGCCGAAGCCAGGAAAGUUGCUGCCCAGUUUGGAACGCCAUCGCUUAGCAUCCCUGGAGUAGCUAACCUUGAUGGUAAUCCUGCCCAUCCUGAAGGAGGACCCAUCCCUAUUCCAAUCCCAAUGGUCAACAUGAACCCCCAUGAGCACUCUGCUACAUCUGCUCGCCAUGGAUCCAUGAUGGGUAAUGAAGAUCCGUAUGACACUUUCUUCUUGCCACAGCCCGUCCAGCCUGCUGUUGGAGGUCUCCCAGACCCAGCUGUUGAUAGACUCCAUGCUUUGGAGGAAAAUUUUAAGUCCUUGGAGGUUCACACUACCCCCGGUUUGGAUGCUGUUGACAUGUGCUUGGUACCAGGUCUCGUGAUUCCGCAAAAAUUCGAAGUCUCGGACUUUGACAAGUACAAAGGGAUCAGCUGCCCGAGAACUCACCUCAGAGCUUACUGCCGCAAAAUGGCCGCCCACAUCAGUAAUGAUCAACUCCUGAUUCAUUACUUCCAAGAUAGCCUCAGUGGAAGUACAAAGGGAUCAGCUGCCCGAGAACUCACCUCAGAGCUUACUGCCGCAAAAUGGCCGCCCACAUCAGUAAUGAUCAACUCCUGAUUCAUUACUUCCAAGAUAGCCUCAGUGGGGCAUCCUUGGAAUGGUAUAUGCAACUAGAGAGAGGUCAGGUCCAGUCAUGGAGAGACCUUGCUGAAGCAUUCCUCAGGCAUUAUCAGUACAACACUGAUCUAGCGCCCAAUCACACACAACUGUAAGACAUGGCUCAACGCAACAAUGAGUUAUUCAAAGAAUACGCCCAGCGGUGUAGAGCGCUUGCAGCUCAUGUCCAACCUCCUCUCCUUGACAAAGAAUUAAUCGACAUGUUUAUGGGAACUCUGCAUACCCAAUAUAUGGAGAAGAUGGUAGGAUCCAGCUUCCCAACUUUCGCUGAGGUGGUCUCUGUAGGAGAACGGAUUGAAAGUCAGAUUAAGAAGGGAAAGUUACCUUGCGCCGCCAAUGCUUCAAGAGGGAUGAAGAAACCUUAUCCUAAUCCUCCGAAGAAGCCAGAAGGUCAAACCAAUGCCAUAAUGGGAGGAGGAGGAUAUAGGGCACAUCCGAAUGUUCCUAUGCCUUAUCACCAGACUGCUGCUGUCGUCCCAACACCGUAUCAACCACCAUAUCAGCAACCCUAUCAGCAACAAUAUCAGCAGCCUUAUCAACAGCCGGCCUACCAGCAGCCACAUUAAAAUCAACAGCAACGUGCUCCGCAACAACGUCAACCUAAUCAAUAGAGGGCAAGGAGGCCAGAAAGACAUUUCUAUCCUUUGCCAAUAUCAUAUAGCAAGAUCCUUCCCUACUUGCUAAAGGAUGGAUCAAUUGUUUUGAAGGAGCUAACACCUGUAACUCCACCAUAUCCUCCAGUCUACGACGCCAAUGCUCACUGCGAGUAUCACAUGGGUGCCCCAGGGCACACAAUAGAGAACUGUAAGGCUUUCAAGCACAAGGUUAAAGAUUUGAUUGACAGUAAAGCACUUACAUUCACGCCAGUGAGGCCAAACGUUGCAACAAACCCCAUGCCAACGCAUGCAGAGUCGAGUGAAGCUCGAAGAUAGAGUUCCUCACAAGCCUGAACAAGCAGAACAAUUCCGCCGAAGAAUCCAAAGAUGAAGGCAUGUUCAUUUGAAUGAAGGCGAUCAUUAUGCCCUUCUUUACCAUUUCACAUUCUUGUAAUUUGGUCUUGUUUGUUUAAGUACUGUAUGCUUUGAACAUUGUUGUUUUUAUUUGGUCUUAUUAAUGGGAUGAUUAUGCAUGCUUUGAAUCAAUCUUUCAUAUUCACUCAUAUUAUCACAUUUGCAAAUCACAAACUCAUACUUUUUCGCCUCACUUUCUUCAUCACACUAUCGUUAGUAAAUGUUGGAAGGAGGAUGACGAAAAACAAAAUACUCAUAAUUGCUGAUUAUAUGCUUUCGGAUAAAACCCUACUGAUGAUGUACAAGCAUUGUUUCAAAUCCCCAAACACCGGAGAGAUAAGGAGUUAAUCCCUAGUCAACCACUUCGAGCCUAGAAGUAGGAGUUUCUUUCAGAUCUAAAAAACCCUUACGCUUAACCUGGGGCAGGGUGGUGUUCAGUUAAUCUGACUACACAUUCAAAUUACAAGAUGAAAUAUCCCAUACAAGGAUCAAUCACAGGAUAUUCUUCACACACAUCCUGAAGUGUCGAAGGAACUAUACAAAUCCAAACUUUAGGUCUGUUGUUCUUCAAUGACCAAUGACUUGGCAGUCACAAUUUUCCAAAAAAAGAAAUCAAAGAAAAAGCCCGCUAAGUCCAACACCUUGAAAGGAGACUUAGGAAAAAACAAGGGCAAUCCCGAUGGAUUAAAGCUUCAAAAAAAGUGGUCCAUGCAAAAGUUAGGGAUCGCAACAAAAAUCGAAAGAGACAAUGAAAGUCUCCAACAAAAUAAAACAAGAUUCAGUGACCACCAUACCAAAAUCAAAUAGUCACCGACAUUUAAAGAAAUAAGGUGGCUGCCAUUCCAAGAGACCUUGAAUCACCAUCUUUAUCCUUACACCUGCAAAAGAAGAACGUGUAUGUUGAGUUAACUGAACGUAGGAUUGGAGAUCAUCAUGAAGAAGGGGUGGGUUAAAAUAAACUUUAAGCCUUAUAUCCUUUUGUUUCAAUAACCAUGAACCAAGCCACGUUACAACCCUCAAAAGACCUAAUUGAAGUAGGGUUUAUUCUGAAGGCAUACUAUAGAAAGGUUGAGUAAACUGACUCCUAGACAUUUGCUAAUAUUCUCUUCUCACUAUAUCACUCACAUGCUAGCCAAAACCAGCACCGCGAUUGGACACAUGGUCCACUCGUCACACAUUACCACGACACUCCAAAUGAAUGAUUGUUUUUCAAAACUUGCAUAAAUGUUGCAUUAAAAUCACCAUUUCAUGAAUAACUAUUCUUAAUUGUCAGUCAGUGCUUGACAUCGAGAAAAUUCCAACAAGGGGCAAUUCGAGAGGCACUUGAUCGUUGGUGCUGACACGAAUCAAGACCAUCCUAUGAAUCAGGGGCAUCGCAUCAUUUUGAUUAUGUUGGCUUAAGAAGCGGUCAGUAUAGGACAAAUCUCCAAGCAUCGGUUGAUCAGGGAGGAAAAACACUUCAACACUCAGUACGUCUGAGACAAGUCCCUCAAAGGCUAAUCAGGGGCAGACCAUUGCAAGAUUCAGUAGUUGGAAAAAACAGACUCAGACCACGUCAUCGGAUAACCACUCCCAAGGUUUCCUUUCAGGGAGAAUGCCAUUUGAUACCCUAUAGUCUGGGGCAAGACAAGUUGCAAAGAGAAAGUUCCCUUCAUAUCUUCGAGACAAUCAAGCAGAUUGCGUCAGACACUGGAAACUGCUUGUAUUCACAACCAAGAUGUCGAAAGUUCAUACUAGUACAAUAUCACAUCUUGAAAAGAAUCCUUAGGGCAAGGUCAAAAGCACAAUCAUCAUGCGUUGAUCACGUCGCUAUGCUCAGUCACAGGCUGGCCAAACACUUCAGAAGAAGAACUGAGAUCUUCUCAAAGACAAGUAUACAACAUAUCAGCAAGAGAUCAAACGUGGGACACGAAGAGUAUCCGCAUCUACUGUGUGUUCAUCACGUCAUCAACUACCGAGUGUCGGGAAGUCAGAUCCUUUCACCAAUCAAUAACUCAAUCCACAUUGACAAUUACCAGAAAAGCCAAAGUCCACCUUGCUGGCACCCACACAAAAACAAAUACAACCAACAUUGGUUUCCAGAAAACACAUUGCCUUUGAAAUGGGGGGCCAAUCCCAAACAAACCAAUCAGUCUUUGCAUUCAAACAUGCAUCACAUGCAUCACAUGCAUCACCUCAUUACAUAACGCAUACAUGACAUUUAUGCAUAUAGCACAAAUCAAAAUCCAAGGUUUAGUCGUAGGCAUCCAAGCCAACCCUUAGUUGAGUCAUUGUUUUUUUUCUGAGUAAGUUCCUACCCUACUAUCGGGCGUUCCCCAUUGAGUUACAUCCUUCAACCUUUUGUUGACAAGAUGUUAUCCUCAGCUUAGUCAAACAAUGUUUCUCCAAACACCUACUUUGUUUCGCGUUGAGCAUGCCUCAAUAAGUCGUUUCCUGUAACCUUUUGUUGACAAAAACUACAUCUCCCCAGAGAAUAUUUGUUCUGUAACCUUUUGUUUAUGAUACCCCAAACAAGUCCUACCCGAUAAUGUUCCAAUACUACCCAGCAAAUCAGGUUUACUGAACUUUGACAGUAGCCUUAUUUUUCCAAUAUUUUCUCACUAUCAUCCUUUUGGUGAAAGUCCAUUGAGGAAUGAUAUUAAUCAUCACCUUGUUUACGAUCACCGUUAUCCUUUUGGUAAUGGUAAAUCCUUGACAUUUAUGAUCUUACCGUCAUCCUUUUGGUGUCGAAGAUCCUUGAAGUUUUUGUUCAAUCUUCAUCCUUUUGGUGAAUGGUGACCUCUACAAUUAUUACAACCUACCGUCAUCCUUUUGGUGUCGGAGAUCCUUAUGGUGGUAAGGAUCCUUGUCAUUUUGGUUCAAUCAUCAUCCUUUUGGUGAUGACGUCCAGUUCAAUCUAAAAUCAUCCUUUUGGUGACGGUGACAUUUGGAAAGUCCAAUCUCAAUGUCAUCCUUUUGGUGUCAGCAAUAUUUGAAGUUAUUAUAACUUGUUAUCAUCCUUUGGUGGUAACAAGUUUCAAAGAGAUGAUUCCACCUUCAUCCUUUUGGUGUUGGUGAUUGUUGAUUCAUUAUCAUCCUUUUGGUGAUAACAAGUUUUAUUGUGCGAUCCUACCUUCAUCCUUUUGGUGACGGUGAUCCGUUAAAGUUAUCAACUUACUAUCCUCCUUUUGGUGAUAACAAGUUUUGUCUUGAUCUUACCUUCAUCCUUUUGGUGAUGGUGAUCAAUUGCGUUGUGUGCUUAUUAUCAUCCUUUUGGUGAUAACAAGUUUUUGUCUUGAUCUUACCUUCAGUGUUGUGUGCUUAUUAUCAUCCUUUUGGUGGUAACAAGUUUUAUUGACCUUACCUUCAUCCUUUUGGUGAUGGUGAUUGUCGACUUAUUAUCGUCCUUUUGGCGAUAACAAGUUUUGUCUUUUAAUUAUACCUUCAUCCUUUUGGUGAUGGUGAUUGUUGACUUAUUAUCAUCCAUUUGGUGAUAACAAGUUUUUGUCUUGAUCUUACCUUCAUCCUUUUGGUGAUGGUGAUCAAUUGCGUUGUGUGCUUAUUAUCAUCCUUUUGGUGGUAACGAGUUCUGGUGUUUGAUAAUACCUUCAUCCUUUUGGUGAUGGUGAUUGUCGACUUAUUAUCAUCCUUUUGGUGGUAACAAGUUUCGUUGUUGGUCUUACCUUCAUCCUUUUGGUGAUAGUGAUCAUUUAAAUUGUUGUAACUUAUUAUCAUCCUUUUGGUGAUAACAAGUUAUGUGGUUUGUAGUACCUUCAUCCUUUUGGUGAUGGUGACUGUCGACUUAUUAUCAUCCUUUUGGUGAUAACAAGUUUUUGUCUUGAUCUUACCUUCAUCCUUUUGGUGACGGUGAUCGAUUACGUUGUGUGCUUAUUAUCAUCCUUUUGGUGAUAACAAGUUUUUGUUUUGAUCUUACCUUCAUCCUUUUGGUGAUGGUGAUCAAUUGCGUUGUGUGCUUAUUAUCAUCCUUUUGGUGAUAACAAGUUUGUUGUGACUAUACCUUCAUCCUUUUGGUGAUGGUGAUCAUUGAAGUUAUUUGACUUAUUAUCAUCCUUUUGGUGAUAACAAGUUUUGAUUGUUGGAUAUUACCUUCAUCCUUUUGGUGACGGUGAUCUUUGAAGUUGAGGAGUCAACUAUCAUCCUUUUGGUGAUAGCCUUGAUAUUAUACUCUUUGAAGUGGGAAACUUUAUCAGAAUAACCAUCAUCCUUUUGGUAGCGGACAUCAUCCUUUUGGGGAUGGAAAUCUUUGAAUUGUGUCUGACUUUUAUCCUUUAGAUGAUAGCGAGAUUUGUUGUUGAUCUUACCAUCAUCCUUUUGGUGAUGGUGAUCUUAUGUUGUAGCCACUAUCCUUUUGGUGAUGACUACUUUUGAAAGCUCGGUUUAUCCAUCAUCCUUUUGGUGAUGACAUUCCUGACAAUCAUAGUGAAUUACUAUCAUCCUUUUGGUGAUGACAUUCCUGACAAUCAUAGUGAAUUACUAUCAUCCUUUUGGUGAUAGCGAUUAAUUCCACUGUCAUCCUUUUGGUGUCAGAAAACCAGUCCCACAUUUGUCUUUACAACAAUAAACGGCCCUUGCAAGAUCGAGUGUCGACUCGAGGGUUGGCAUUGAUUUGGCAUUCUACCCCUAUUUACCUUGGUGCUGUUAGAAUCCAUUGCAUUUUUCUUUUUGCAUUUCUCCAUUGCAUUUCAAAGGACAAAAUUUGGAUAUUUUCGUAUUUAAUUACCUUCCAACACGAAUGUAUGAAGACUGUCGUCAUUCUUACUUUCUAGUUCAAGAUAAUUAAAUAGGGGCAGCUGUCAUACCCCAAUUUUGUCCGGGCAUAUUUAAAUUUUUAUAGCAUUGAUUCCAUUUUUUAUUUUUUGCAUCACAUACAUAGUAUGACAUACAUUCCAUCAUGAAUAAAUACCUAGAAUAUCAGUCAGGAUAAAUUUAUUGAGAAUACAGACCAAUCAGUUGAAUCAUUUCUCAAGAACAGGCAAAAUCAGCAGUGACUGUUUCGGUUAUAUCUUGACCCGCCUGAGCCUUUUAAUCGGUGCAAAUUUAUUUCAGAAUUUCGAAAAAACACUAUAUUUUUCAAUAAGUAUAUUGUGUGCUGGUCAUUUUAGUGUGUCCGAUUUAAUUUUUUCGAUUAAAUUAUAAUCCAAUUUGCAUUUUUUAAUCAGGUCAUUUUAUUCCUUUAUUCAAAAUAUUAAAUUAAAUAAUGAAAGUGUUUAUUUAUGAUAAUCAUAUUUUUAAGCAAAAAUAAAUAACAAUAAGGAUUUUCUGAUUAAUAAUAUUAAAACUAAGUUAUGACAUUGGAUUCUUUAGAAGAAAAUGCCAGCUUGCAUGUCACUCAUUCUCCCUCACACUCACGUCCCUUUCUAUUCUCUCUCUACCACGCGUCCAUCAUCAAAUCCACUCACGUUCUCUCCCAACGGAUUCCUCAUCACUCACCUCACAUCACUACCCUCACUCUCAGCAUAUCACUCAUCACCACCUACCACUAUCACUCAUAUUUUUCGUUUCACCUUACCUUCACUCUCACAUACAAAUCCUCAAAAAACCUCUCGUUUCUCUCUCUGCAAACCAAAAGGGAUAAGGAGAAAGGCACAACCUCAUCCUCCCAUCCCACCGCCGCUUCACCAUUCCGCUGUCACAAUCAUCUUCAAACCCUCAACCCACCAACCGAAAACCCAUUUCACCUCCAUAACCCUUAACCCUCUUCGUCUUCACUGUUAACUCCCUCCGUUCACACAACAACGCUUUCACCACCGCUAACUACACAACCCCCCAUAAAUAACUCUCACCGCCAUCUCCUUCAUCAUCCGCACCAUCCGCUUCGCCACCGUCUUCCAUCACCACACAACCACCACAAAACGCACCGACUUACAAACCACCGCUCACCUCCAUCAUCACAAACCACAAAAGCUCCACCGUUCACCUUCCAACACCGCUUCCACCGCGGAAAAUCAAUAAGCCUCCGUUUUCGUCAUCUCUAUUUCGACUUCAACACCACUACACCGCCGCUCGACACCUUCAUCAACCCCCAAAUCGCCGUGCAAAGCCACCACGAAACCUAAUAACCGCACUGUCGCCUUCUCCGUCACCCACUCCAGCUACUCUCACUCAAAACCACUAACUGACAUUUGCUCUGCAAACGUUGAUCCAACAUUUCUAAAAUUCAUCUGAUUCUAUUUGUAGAUGUUGUUGCUGCAGGUGGUUCUGUUUGUUAUGGUGUUGAAUCCAUCAUCCAUUGAGUAGCAAGAUCGUCACGGCUGCCGACGACAUCGGUUCGAGGGUGCAUCAUAAACUUGUCGAAACUCUAGACACUAGCAAACAAGUCGAGUUGCUUCUAAGUUCAAAUCGAGUUUGAGUUUCAAGACGGGAACGCCGAGUCGGUUACGCCGUAUUGUCGCUGCAUCUUUGGUAUCCUAUACAGGUAUUGCAAACAGAGCAUAAGCAUCGAACUUUUUAUGUAUGUUGCACAAUCCAAUGACAUCAAUAUGACCGUUCUCCCGUAACAAUUACAUUAUGCUGGUGUUUGUUUUUGUGUGGCGUGUUUAAGUCUGAUGAUGCUGUGGAUUGUUCCCUUCCCUGCCAUUGUCGAGAUUAACUUAUGUCCAAAGAGUCAC
rnacentral:lncRNA from 1 species